rnacentral:rRNA from 1 species
GAUGAACGCUGGCGGCGUGCCUAAUACAUGCAAGUCGAGCGAACAGACGAGGAGCUUGCUCCUCUGACGUUAGCGGAGGACGGGAGAGUAACACGUGGAUCACCUCCCUAUCAUACUGGGAUAACUUCGGGAAACCGGCGCUAAUACCGGAUAAUAUAUUGAACCGCAUGGUUCAAUAGUGAAAGUCGGUUUUGCUGUCACUUAUAGAUGGAUACGCGCCGGAUUAGAUAGUUGGUAAGGUAAAGGCUUACCAAGGCAACUAUGCGUAGCCGACCUGAGAGGGGGAUCGGCAACACUGGAACUUAGACACGUUCCAAGCUCCUACGGUAGGCAGCAGUAGGGAAUCUUCCGCAGUGGUGGAAAGCAUGGCGGAGCACCGCCGCGUGAGUGAUGAAGAUCUUGGGAUCGUAAUACUCUGUUAUUGGGGAUAAACAGAUGUGGAAGUAACUAUGAACGUCUUGACGGUACCUAAUCAGAAAGCCACGGCUAACUACGUG